AACGAACGCUGGCGGCAUGCCUAACACAUGCAAGUCGAACGAGAUCUUCGGGUCUAGUGGCGCACGGGUGCGUAACGCGUGGGAAUCUGCCCUUUGGUUCGGAAUAACAGUUGGAAACGACUGCUAAUACCGGAUGAUGACGAAAGUCCAAAGAUUUAUCGCCAGAGGAUGAGCCCGCGUAGGAUUAGCUAGUUGGUGUGGUAAAGGCGCACCAAGGCGACGAUCCUUAGCUGGUCUGAGAGGGUGAUCAGCCACACUGGGACUGAGACACGGCCCAGACUCCUACGGGAGGCAGCAGUGUGGAAUAUUGGACAAUGGGCGAAAGCCUGAUCCAGCAAUGCCGCGUGAGUGAUGAAGGCCUUAGGGUUGUAAAGCUCUUUUACCCGGGAUGAUAAUGACAGUACCGGGAGAAUAAGCUCCGGCUAACUCCGUGCCAGCCGCCGCAGUAA
rnacentral:rRNA from 1 species